AGUGAACGCUGGCGGUAGGCCUAACACAUGCAAGUCGAACGGCAGCACAGUAAGAGCUUGCUCUUACGGGUGGCGAGUGGCGGACGGGUGAGGAAUACAUCGGAAUCUACUUUUUCGUGGGGGAUAACGUAGGGAAACUUACGCUAAUACCGCAUACGACCUACGGGUGAAAGCAGGGGAUCUUCGGACCUUGCGCGAUUGUAUGAGCCGAUGUCGGAUUAGCUAGUUGGCGGGGUAAAGGCCCACCAAGGCGACGAUCCGUAGCUGGUCUGAGAGGAUGAUCAGCCACACUGGAACUGAGACACGGUCCAGACUCCUACGGGAGGCAGCAGUGGGGAAUAUUGGACAAUGGGCGCAAGCCUGAUCCAGCCAUACCGCGUGGGUGAAGAAGGCCUUCGGGCUGUAAAGCCCUGUUGUUGGGAAAGAAAAGCAGCAGGUUAAUACGCCGCUGUUCUGACGGUACCCAAAGAAUAAGCACCGGCUAACUUCGUG
rnacentral:rRNA from 1 species